UACGGAGGAUGCAAGCGGUAUCCGGAAUGAUUGGGCGUAAAGCGUCCGCAGGUGGCUGUGUAAGUCUGCUGUUAAAGAGUCUAGCUCAACUAGAUAAAAGCAGUGGAAACUACACGGCUAGAGUACGUUCGGGGCAGAGGGAAUUCCUGGUGUAGCGGUGAAAUGCGUAGAGAUCAGGAAGAACACCGGUGGCGAAGGCGCUCUGCUAGGCCGUAACUGACACUGAGGGACGAAAGCUAGGGGAGCGAAUGGG
rnacentral:rRNA from 1 species